CAAUCUGCCCAAUGAAAAAUUAAAUGGCUGCAGUAUAAAUAACUGUACAAAGGUAGCAUAAUAAUUUGUUUUCUAAUUAAAAACUAGAAUGAAAGAUUUCAUGAAAUAUUUACUUUAUUAAAACUAAAAAUUAAACUUAUUAUUUAAGUAAAAAAACUUAAAUAAAUUUAAAAGACAACAAGACCCUAUAAAAUUUUAUUUAAAUUUUUUAUAAAAUUAAUUUUUAUAUUAUUUUAAAUUUAAUUGGGGUAAUUAAAAAAUUAAUUAAACUUUUUUAAACUCAACCAAUAAUUUUUGAGAAAAAUUUCUUAAACUUUAAAAUAUUAAAAUUAAUUACUUUAGGGAUAACAGCAUAA
rnacentral:rRNA from 1 species